rnacentral:rRNA from 1 species
UACGGAGGGGGCAAGCGUUAUUCGGAAUUAUUGGGCGUAAAGGGCGCGUAGGCGGCUGUACAAGUCAAAGGUGAAAUCCCUCGGCUCAACUGAGGAACUGCCUUUGAAACUGUACGGCUUGAGGCCGGGAGGGGGUAGCGGAAUUCCCAGUGUAGCGGUGAAAUGCGUAGAUAUUGGGAGGAACACCAGUGGCGAAGGCGGCUACCUGGACCGGUUCUGACGCUGAUGCGCGAAAGCGUGGGUAGCAAACAGG